GAUGAAGAACGCAGCGAAAUGCGAUAAGUAAUGUGAAUUGCAGAAUUCAGUGAAUCAUCGAAUCUUUGAACGCACAUUGCGCCCAUUAGUAUUCUAGUGGGCAGGCCUGUUCGAGCGUCAUUAAGUCCACUUAAGCCCUGCUUAGUGUUGGGAGACUGCUCCAGCGGUGCUACCCUGUAGCUACCCUGCAGCUCCUCAAAGACAGCGGCGGAGUUGUGGUAUCCUCUGAGCUUAGUAACUUGUUCUAGCUUUCGAGUACACCACUUCCCCUGCCGUAAAACCCUUAAUUUUUAAUGGUUGACCUCGGAUCAGGUAGGAAUACCCGCUGAACUUAAGCAUAUCAAUAAGCGGAGGA
rnacentral:misc_RNA from 1 species